AUGUCAGCUGCUUUCAAACAUGUUGGUGUGGACCGGAACACGGUAGUGGUCAAUGCUCCAAUCGCAGAGCUUUACAUAGCUGCACCUGACAAGUAUAAGGAACUCCUUAAAAACCACAGCAGUCAGGUUAAACUUAGUGCAUUUGCCACACAGUGUGCUGCUGUAAUUCAGGAGGAUCCAGCUGUAGAAGAUACUAUCAAAGCCUUUAAGGCUUCCGAACGGUUCCUCUCCUCAAAGAAACAACCACAGUGCUGUGUAACAAAAGCUGUUAGUGGUCAGUCUUUGACCUCCUCAGAUUAUGUGGUGAAAAAGCCUGGAGACUCAGUGACUCUGUCCUGCACUGUGUCUGGAUUCUCAAUGAGCAGCUACUGGAUGCACUGGAUCCGUCAGAAACCAGGGAAAGCACUGGAGUGGAUUGGGCGAAGACAUGGCUCAAGUGCAUAUUAUGAUCAGUCUCUACAGGGCCAGUUCUCCAUCACCAAAGACACCAGCAAAAACAUGCUGUAUUUAGAGGUGAAAAGCCUGAAGACUGAAGACACAGCUGUUUAUUACUGUGCUAGAGACUCACAGUUACACAAAAGACUGCAGGACUGAACAAAAACUAUUCAUGCAUCAGAUCACUGAAGCAAC